rnacentral:tRNA from 5 species
GGUCCCUUCGUCUAGCGGUUAGGAUAUCUGGUUUUCAUCCAGAAGAUCACGGGUUCGAAUCCCGUAGGGACCGCCA